CCCACUCCCAGGCCCCGUUCCUAGGUGAGUUUUUUUCUGUUUCUAGCUUGGCUCCCAUUAUAACACAAGCCUCCAAAUGUUGAUCCCCUUGACAGGUGCCCCAGGCCAGCUCCUCUGGUGCCAGUGCUGGGAAGGAAGUGCAAUUCCCAGCUGUCCCUGCCGCUCCUACAAUGCUGGGUGCAGCCCAGAGCGAGGCCAUUUGUGAGGAUUUGCCAGGCUCUCUAGCAGCUGAGAUGGACCUGGCGCUCAGCUGCCCUCCACCCACACGCAACUGAAUAGGAAUUAGGAACCGUGAGCUCUGAUUUCUGCCUACUGCAAGCUGGCUGCAGUACACUGGAGAGAAUAUUUCCCUGCUUGGGGCAUCCUGCUUCUGCUUGAAAAAUAGGAGGGGAGAAGCCCAGGCCUCAAUUUCUGUACACAUCAGCAUUGCCUGCAAGUAACGUCUUGUUAAACACAGAGCACCCAGCCAUGCCCCGGAGUCUUCGAUCAGCAGAGCCAUGAGAGUCUCACAGGAGCGCGAACUCUAUUGUGAACCAUGCAUGUGAGCAGAUGGCUUGAGUCCAGGAGUUCAAGACCAGCGUGGGCAACAUGGCCAAACCCCGUCUCUACUAAAAGCACAAAAAUUAGCCGGGUAUGGUGACACACACCUGUAGUCCCAGCUGAGAAUCUAACUAAUGCCUGUUGAUCUGAGGUGGAACAGUUUCCCCCACCCCACCCCGUCUGUGGAAAAUUUGUCUUCCACGAAACCAGUCCCUGGUGCCAAAAAGGUUAGGGGCUGCUGGUCUAGAGACACGCAGCACAUAUGCCCGCAUGUUCUAGAGUGCUCUCUCUCCUACACAAAGAGUGGCUUACUACCCAAGAUGCCCUGGACCUUGGAUUUAUUUUUUAUUUUACAUUGUUGUUUAAUUACAAAAUAUUUCAAAAGUAUUGACAUAUGGUGACUUACAUAACAAACAUCCUUUAACCCCACCCAGCAUCGUCAUAUCUUAGUAGUAUGCUGUGUUUGCCUUUGGAUUUUGUUUGUAUAGACUCUUAUAGACACGGUAGAAGUCCCUGAGGGCCCGUUUCUGGUCCCACUCCCCACUGCCCUUCCCUGGAGAGAGGCUCUGUCAUGCAUCGGCUGUUCAUUGCCUCUGACUUUUCUACUUGUCCCUCUCUCUCCCCCAUUCUACUUCCACCCAAAGGGAAGCAGUGCUGGGUGGGAUGUGCUGCCAUGUUCGUCUGGAACAUGGCAGCAAUCACAGCCAUUUCCCUGUUACCCUAACAAAUUAGGUGCUAUUAGAGCAGGGCUUGGCAGCGCUGCAGUGCCGGGCAACUGCAGAACGUCUUAAACCUCACAGACUCCCAAAUGGCAUUGUCCCCUUCAGUCAGAAGUGCCAUACAUCACGGUUAAAAAUCAAUGCCUGCUAAUGUCCCUGCAGGAAGGCAGAAACAUGAACUUCAUGAAGUCUCCUUCUGUUUACACGCUCAUUAAGAGGAUAAAAUGUUACUUGGGUUGGGUCAGGCUUUUUGCUGCCUCUGAGGUGGUCCUGUAUGAAAAUGUGUGCCUUCAUUUGGGUAUGGCCUGUGUCACACAUUAUAUGCCUAUGGUAGUUAUGAAAUGCAAACUCCACCUCUUGUCUGUGCAGUCACUGAGUGUCCUAAUAUCAAAGUAAAACUGUGAGUUGAGGCCGGGCGCAGUGGCUCACGCCUGUAAUCCCAGCAUUUUGGGAGGCUGAGGCAGGUGGAUCACAAGGUCAGGAGUUUGAGACCAGCCUGGCCAGCAUGGUGAAACCCCAUCGCUACUAAAAAUACAAAAAAUUAGCCAGACAUGGUGACACAUGCUUGUAGUCCCAGCUACUCGGAAGGCUGCGGCAGGAGAAUUACUUGAACCCUGCAAGUGGAGGUUGCAGUGAGCCAAGAUCGAGCCACUGCACUCUAGCCUGGGCAAUGGAGCGAGACUCUGUCUCAAAAAAAAAAAAAAAAAAGUGUGAGUUGAUGGCUGCCUUACUUGUCCUCCUGGGGACAGACCUGCCCCCUGUCCUUCCCUUUGAGGGCACAGGCCUUUUCUGAUCAGGGAAGAUGACAGUGGGCACUCAUGGAGUGGGCUGGGCUCUGGAGGCCAUCUAGUGCUAUACCUGGCUGUUUAAGGCUGCCCCAUCUUGACGCCCACCUCCACAUAGGGACACAUCCAGCCAUGCUUCUUGGCACUCUACCCAGCUGCUCUGUCCCCACAGUUUCCCCUCCCUGUUGAUGGCCCAGACCAAUGCCACAUCCUUACCACUCAUGCACUUUGGUGAUAGUCCCAGCCCCACAUUCAACAUUUCCAACCAAGGCAACUGAGACAGGAGCCCAGGGGCCAGUGGCUCAGGGUGCCCAGCAGGCUGACCCACCGGAGCCCUCUGGGGUAUAGUCUCCCUCAGCAGGGUAGGCCAGUGUCUGGCCCUGCUCUGGCCCCUUUCUCUGCUUGUAACCUAGUUCGCAGUCUCCUCUGGGCUCUGCAGAUCCAUCCUGGAGCACUUGGGUUCUCAUCAGAAGCUAUCUAUGGAAUGAAGAACAGCAGAGCACAGCAGUGAUCCAGGGCAUGUGUGCAUCACAUCUUUCUUUGUCACCUGUCCAGGGAGUUCAGAAUUAGGCAGUGGUCAGCUGCACAGAAGCCUUCCAGGCCCUCCUACGUAGCCUCACCAUAUUCUCCUCUAAGGCACAGACACAAGCGCCCAGUCCUGUCCUACCUCAAAGAGGCACCCACAGAGGUCCCAACCCUGAUGGGGUGGAAGCUAGGGGCCCAGGGCAGCAUCAGGAGCAGAAAAUAGUGAAAUGGGAGGGCAUCACUUGGUAACAGGAAUCAGAGGGAGAGGCCUGGAGGAGAGGGAAAGGUACUCUUGGGUCUGGGAGCUAUGACUCUUUCCACACAUUUAAUGCUCAACACUCAUGCAGGGAAAAAAACUUAUCCCCAUAAUUACUGGGCAAGAGGGCCAUGCUGUCCUCACACCCAUGACAUCCUUGCAGCUCCCUCUCCUGCCUCCAGAACCAUCAUGACAUUCUGUGGAUUCUUCAUACUUUAGAAGGCAUCUGUUUCUCCAUUUGAUCACAACAUCCACCGAAGGGAGAACAGAAAAGGUAUAUUCUUAGCCUCUUCUUGCAUAAACAUGAGGAAAAUGAGGGGAAGUAACAAAGGAAGUGAAGAGAGAAACUGAACUUUGCAGUUGGAUCUUCUCAUAACUCAACCUGGUUCUUGCCCCCACCUCACCUGGGCCAAGGCAUGGGAGACACAGGGAGUCGUGGAUGGGAGAUGAGAGUGGCAAAGGAUGCAGACUGGACAAAAACCAGUUCCCAGAGGCCAGUCCAGCUGUGGGUGAGUAGGAAACAGCCAGGGGAAAGGGAGGAUGAAGAGGCUGAAGGAGGAUGGGAAUAUGCCAGGCAGAGCGCAGCAUGUGCAAAGGCCCUGUGGGGAGAGAGAGUUCACGGAAGUGAAGUGAAAAUGGCUCAUGAGUAGAUGUGACAUCUAUUUUCCUGCAAGUUAAUAUCAUCUGACAUUGGAUACAAUUUUUUAUGCCACAUUUAUCCCCAAAAUGGAUUUGUGGUUGCUUAUGAAAAACAGAUAGUAUAAGCUAAGGGAAUCCUCAAAGACCACUUACAGGGCAAAAGCAGAGCUCCCCAAAUGACAAAUGGCAUAGGAAUCCCCUGGGGCCUUGUUAGUAUGCACACUUUAGUUGGGAGGUCUGGGGUGAAGCCUAAGAUUCUGCAUUUCUGCUGUUACUGCAUUGAGAACCACACUUCAAGUAGCAAAGCUUGUGGCAGGGCCCAGGAGCGGAGGUUCUAACUUCAUUCUGUAUCAGUGUCAUGAAGAUGCCUGAGCCCCACCCAGGUCCAACUGAAUCAGACUCCCUCGGGGUGGGGUGCAAGCAUCAGUAUAUUUUAAAAGCUCCUUAAGUGAUCUGAAGGUGAAGCCAGAGGUAGGAACACUUGGCUAGGUUUUUCAUGAGUUCCAGGGUAUAUCAAUCAUCUCCCCCAGGCAGAUGAGUUGUGAAUGUGGUCUCCCUUGUGAAACAGAGCUUUACUAGCAGGGAGUUUGUAGCCUCUGGAAUAGGAAAACAGAAGUUUCUGUCCAAAGUGGAAACCAUAUGCUGGUGGAGCUGGGCAUCCGAUUCCACCCUCAUUUUGCAGCUGAGGAAACAAGUCCUGAGUCCACACAGCUGGUGAAGUCCCUUGGCCCCAGCCAGGUCGUUUUUUUACUCUUGCUACAGAUACCAAGCAGGGAGGCUCCCUAGAAGAGGAAGAGCUAGAGGGGCGGGGCCAGGAGGAGGUGCAAGUGACAAAAGACAUGCAGACAGGAAAUGAAUGGCAAAAAAAAUGCCGGGAAGAAAGGCAGAAGAGGACAGCCCCUGUUCCUUUCAAACCUCCACAAGUAGGCAGUGGCUGCCCUGCCCAUAAACAGACAUGCCUGGAACAUGGCUGUGAGGCAGCAGACAGGCAGGGCUGGCCAGGAGCACAGCAAGGGGACAACGAGAAGGACACUGCCAGGGCAGAGUGCAUCAGAAGCCCAUAGGACGGCUUCGCUGCAAAGCAAAGGCCUUCCUGGGCUGAGAAUGUACCUCCAAGAGGAUGUGGGCAGGCACAGCUGGGCCUGGCUUUUAGGAGGUUUUCAGAAAGUAAAAGACACUGCCUAUUUGACCAUCCACUGAAAAUGCCCUCUGAGGACUCAGUAAGGUUGAGUUACUAGUUGUGAGUGAGGAAUGCCAUUACUAGUCUGUUGUUGGGCACCCAGGCACCUGUGACAGAUGAGAAGAUGGGAGAGGGACAGAUGUUCAGCCAGAAGAGAACUCAAAGGAUAAGAAAGGUGGCCACAGGCACUCCAGAAGGGCUAUUUGUUGUGCAGGGAAAAGGAGCCAGAGUAAAAAGGCAUGGUCUGUAAUCCCAGCGCUUUGGGAGGCUGAGGUGGGGGGAUCACCUGAGGUCAGGAGUUCGAGACCAGCCUGGUCAACAUGGCAAAACCCUGUCUCUACAAAAAUACGAAAAAUUAGCCGAGUGUGGUGGCACACGCCUAUAAUCCCAGCUUCUCAGCAGGCUGAAGCAGGAGAACUGCUUGAACCCAGGAGGCAGAUGUUGCAGUGAGCCAAGAUCGCACCACUACACUCCAGCCUGGGCGACAGAGUGAGACUCCAUCUCAAAAUAAAUAGCAAGCCAUGGAACUGGGGAUGAAGCAGCAAGCAGAGGUUCUCACCAUAGCUCCCCAGGGCAAGGAAGGCCACAGCCCAGCCUGGAGACCAGCCAGCAGGCAGGGUCAGCUAGAGCAGCGCUCUGAUGGACAGACCUCAGGGACAUAAAGGCGAGAGUCUUCAGGAAGCAUCUGGAAACCAGCUCCUUUCCCACCUAGAAGAUGGGUAACAACUGCCACUCCCCGGCUUUUAGGAAAGCCCACACCCAGCCCCACGAUGUCUGCAAAUUCUCAGGGGGGUGUAUUUCUCAUUACCUCUGGCUUCUGCAGAAUUCUCCUUCCCUUCUCCAGGAGUUGACGCUGGCUUUUAACUCUGUCCUAUAAUCCCCUGUGCAGAAGCCCCAGUCCCUUCUCCUAGGUUCCUCCCCAUUCCCCAGAAAGGGACACACAGGCCAGUGAGGAGAGUGGACGCCCCUGGAGUCUGGCUUCAGGAGAGGAUAGGGCUGUCAGAUACUUUAAACUGAAGAGCUGACGGCUCCUGCUCCUUGACUUCCCUUGGCCAUUUCCACUAACUCAAUCCCAGCCUUCAAGCGAGUCCACCUUCUCUCCCUUUUUACUGCAAUUCCUGCACAGAUUUACACAGAAGAGCUCUCUCUAUAUAUAAUUUUUUUUCUCUUUCUACUCAUGCCCACAAGGCCUCAUUUCUCACCCAAAUGACCUAUCAAGGUAGUUCUUAAAUGAAAGCAGUUCCUCCCCUCAGAGAACACUAACACCAGCAGGCAAAAUAAUUUUUCUCAUUGCACAGCAUGUUCAAUAGAGAGCUAGCUAAGUCAGGCCGGAUCGACGUCCACGCUCUAUGUGGUGCACCAGCACAGAUUGGCUGGAGUUAGAUAUUUGAGUCUGAACCUGAACUUCUCAUGUGGUUCUCACAACAUCCCUCCACAAAGGCCUUUCCCCCAAAAACCAUAGUCCAUAGUUGACUCCAGUCUUGCUGGCAGCUAAGCAAGUCCUGGGAAAACCAGGAGCUGGCAGGUGUCUGGAAACCAUUUCUUUGCAGUUCUGUGCUGCUGCAUCCUCUGGCUUGAAGUCAUCAGGAACCAGCCCCACUUUGCAACCCCAGGGCCCACAAUCCAAAUGCAGUCUCUGGUUUUUGAAGCUUUUAGUCCCAUUAGCGUUCACAGUGCUAGGAAUGAUGCAAGACAGGGGAGGAUGGAAGCGGCAUUGGACCAGCAGUUCCAGCAGGCCAGGCUGCCAAAGCUUCUGUCUCCCCUCCCUCGCUUCCCUAUUACUGGGAGUGCUUAAUGUGCACCCAUGCAAGAAGACCAAUUUGCACCUUCUGUGGAGGACACAGCUUGGAAUUUCUUGACUUCUGUGCACCUCAAUAGCCAAUGACUUCACUGUUUCUGUCUUGCUCCUUGACUUGAUCUCUCAUGAGAGUGGAGGAGCCAGAAGAAGGUAAGCCAGUCAUAACAGUCAAAGGUUCCCAAAACAAAAGGCGAAGAGCCAAAGCAGGCAGUGAUCCCUGAGAAUCACCAAGGCUCCCCAACCUCCCUCUGAUGAGACUCAGGGGCUCCUUUUUAUCUCCAGAAUCUAUCUAUAAGACAGGGUCAGUGGGAAGUAGGCCAAAUGCUAUAUGGUGUGACAGCAAGGGCCUAGGACUUUCUCUGCCUCCCCAGAUGCCUCCCAACUUGUGAGCAGGUUCCUGACACUACAAGUUCAUUCCUUUAGCAUAAGGUGUUAACACUAUCAAAUACAAACUACUCCACAAAAGAUGAGGCUUUGAGUUUAUCAUGGCCAUAAGAAUAGAGAUGGGGUGGAAGACAUCCGAGAAAAGCUUAGAAGAAGGUUGGAGCCUGGGGUGGCUGGGUGGAGGGGAGCAAUAGGCUGGGCAGAGGCCAGGUAGGCCAAGGAUAAGCUCCACAACUCAGAUGGCACUUGGUCCAAGCAGUGAUGGGGCCUUGACUCCAGGCUUAGCCCCACUUCCACUUUGCUCUGUGAACUUAGGUUAACUCACCCCUCUGGGUCUCCAUAUCCCUUUUUCAAGGUGAAACCAAAAAUAAACUUAUCUCACUUCUUGCAAAGUCAAGGAUAGUUUUACCAGUUCCCUUGUUAGGGAAAUGGUUCUGUGAUAAGAGUAGCAAGGCUUUACUCUGUGCCAGGUGCUGUUCUAAGCCCUUAACAAGCGCUAACUCAUGUAAUCUUCCAAAGAUUCCAGAGGUGGGAGCUACGACCACCCCCAUCUUGCAGAUGAAGACCUUGCAGCGACCAGCCCAGGGUCCCCUGGCAAGUGGGUGACAAAGCCAGGAAUGAACCCAGGGGGUCUGGGCCAGAGCCCACACCUUAACCAUCAUACUCCAUGGCCUCUCUAUGUGCAGGGGCCCCACACACAGAGCAUAAGCCCAGCUGCCUGCUUCUAAUGUUCUGAUCCAGUUUAUGAGGGGUACCUUGCACCUGGUGUACCCCCAAUCACAAAACAGGGAUAGCCUCAAGUGCUUUUUCCAGUUGUAUUACUUUACUGAGACCAGAGUAACCAUCUAAAUCCACUUCAAGACUGCCCCUAGGAAGGCGUUCCUCACACCAAUGUGGGGGACACACCUGUUGUUAAAAAAAGAUAGCCUUGGCCAGGCGUGGUGGCUCAUGCCUGUAA
rnacentral:lncRNA from 10 species